GCAGCAGGACGGUCGUGUCGCUUGCCGGUGAUUCCAAGCGGAUCGGGACGGCAAGAGGAAAGUCCGGGCAACACAGAGCACCAUACUCUCUAACAGUGAGCUGUCGGCGACGGCAGAGUAACGUGACAGAAAACAACUGCCCCGCACGGGCCUCAGGGUCUGGCGAGGUGAGGGUGAAAAGGUGGGGUAAGAGCCCACCGGGUGGUGUGGCGACACAUCAUGCCGCACGUCUUAUGGG
rnacentral:RNase_P_RNA from 1 species